rnacentral:rRNA from 1 species
GACGAACGCUGGCGGCGUGCUUAAUACAUGCAAGUCGAACGGAAAGGUCCGGCGCUUGCGGGGUUCUCGAUAGGGGAACGCGGGUGUAAAACGCGAGUAUCCUGCCCUUGACUGUGUGAGAUCACUUCGAAACACGGGCGAAUAUCCCAUAGGAGCUCCGGCAGCACGGGGUGGUAUGGAAAGUGUCGGCGGUGGUGGCUCGUCUCGCGGGUUAUGAGCUGGAUUGUGGGGUAGUGGUUGACCAGGGUUUUGACGGAUAGCCGGCCUGAGAGGGUGACCGGCCACCUUGGGCCUGAGAUACGGCCCAGACUCCUACGGGAGGCAACGGUGGAGAAUAUUGCACAAUGGGCGGACGCCUGAUGCAGCAACGCCGCGUGCGUGAUGACGGCCUUCGGGUUGAAAACCGAUUUCGCCUGUGCCGAAGCGUGAGUGACGGUAAUGAGUAAAGAAGCACCGGCUAACUACGUG